rnacentral:lncRNA from 1 species
AGUAGCAGGAUAUAAGAUUAACAUUCAGAAAACAGUCACAUUUCUGUAUACUAACAAUGAAACUUUAGAAAAGAAGUACAAAAACACAAUACCUUUUAAAAUUGCACCCCAAAAAAUCAAAUACCUGGGAAUACACCUGACCAAGAAGGUAAAGGACUUAUAUGCCGAGAACUAUAAAAUAUUAAUCAAGCAAAUUAAAGAAGAUGUAAAGAAAUGGAAAGAUAUUCCAUGCUCCUGGAUUGGAAGAAUUAAUACUGUAAAAAUGGCUAUACUACCCAAAGCAAUGUACAGAUUCAAUGCAAUCCCUAUCAAAUUACCCAUGACAUUUUUCACAGAACUAGAGCAAACAAUCCAAAAAUUUAUAUGGAACCACCAAAAAAAAAAAAAACCAGAAUUGCCAAAGCAAUUCUGAGGAACAAAAACCAAACAUGAGGCAUCACUCUCCCAGACUUCAGGCAAUAUUACAAAGCCACAGUCAUCAAGACAGUGUGAUACUGGUACCAAAACAGACAUAUAGACCAAUGGAACAGAAUAGAGAACCCAGAAAUAACCCCAGACACCUACGGUCAAUUAAUCUUUGGCAAAGGAGGCAAGAACAUAAAACAGGACUGUUUUAACCAUUUUCAACAAUCCAGUAUGGUACCUGGAACAUAGUAUGUGGUGAAUAAGUAUUUGAAAAAUUAAGUGAGAGAGUCCCAGAGUGUCUGACAUCACUAGUGCAACAGUGGAAAACCUUGUACCUAUGUUUAAUCUGGCAACCUUGUGUGUGGUGAAGGGGUAGAUGGGGGAAGGAAAGCAUCUCCUUUAAAAAAAAAAAAAAUUAACUGCCCCACAGUUACCUAAUACCUUAGAACAUUUUCCAGGUCUAGUGAUUCUAAUCACUAAAAUCAGAGAAGGAGUCUGGGAAUGGGGUUGGGGCUCUUUACUGAGGAAGAUAAACAUUGUUCUCUAAGCAGGUAACACACUGAGUUCAUCCCUGCCUAAAGCCCAUGACAACCUGGUGGUAACUGGCAGAGCUUUUCUGGGUCUUGGGAUCAUGAGGCCUUGUGGAAAAGCUCCAAGGAAAAGGAGGAGAGAAUUUCUGGAAGUGGGGAAAGCCUGGUUUCCACUGGCUCCUUCACCCUGCAGCUUCGACUCUGGGCAGCUUUGACAACCAUGCUGGAAAGUCGUGGGGAGGCAGAUUUUACUUACGCUUGGCUAGCCUCAUAUUUAUUUAUUGUUUUCUUUUAAGGCAAAGAAAAAGUUCAAAUAACUCAUAGCCACAUGAAGUAAAGGCCCAGGGCCCUCUGUUCAGCCCCACCCCAAAAUGCACACACAGGCAGCAUCCCAGAAUCACCCUGGGAGUGAAUGGUUAGUUGCUAAUUAAACCUUCUAGACUAUGAUCGGGGUUUCCUGGGAGAAGGUUACAGGGCCGUAUGUGGUUACAUCCUCUCCACAGAAAGAUUAAAAUUCCCCAUAAAGAGAAACUUGGUGCUGCGGAAAAUGCAGUGUGGUUCUUAUAGGAACAAGUUGCCCUGUCUUUUCCUCCUUUGUAUCUAGCAGUCUUGCUUUUGAAAAGAAACUAUCACAAUAAUGUGAAGGAGGGAAAGGAACAUUAAAACUGUCAUUAAAAACUUCCAACUAUUUACCUACCCUGAGAUGUGCUGGGUACACACAAUUCCUCUUGUAAAAACAACUUUUUUUAUAAGAAAGAUGUCUUUAGAUAAGAAGCUUUAUCUUGGCCAGUUCCACUUCCCUGCAGAAGCCUGGAGUACAGUUGCAGGGCUAUGUGUCUAAGGCUCCUCUGUUGCUGUGGCCAGGAGACCCCACUGGGGGAGGCAGAGGGACAAGAGAAACAUAUUGGAGUGUGUGUGUGUGUGUGUGUGUGUAUGUGUGUGUGUGUGUGUGUGAGGUGGGGGUGGGUACAGAGAAACAAAGAGAGAGUAUGUUGUAUUGAGGCGUGGCUUAUAGUUAGUUUUCUUGGAAAACCCUUUUCCAGAAUGACAUAGAGAAUGAAGCUUGCUUUGUGGACUGGAUUCUAACUCAUGCUUUCUGUGCUGACCAGAUCACACCUGUUUGUUUGUUUUUUAUUUUUUCAAUGUAUUAAAAGUAAUGAACAAAUAAGUUUGUAACAUAAUACAUCAGAUAGGGGAAGAAAGGGAUCCCUAAAAAGUUUGAUAUUUGGGAUUCACUUCAAAUAAAACAUUAGAGAUGAGAAGUAGACAGUGUAACACAUCAGGCAAGGGGGAGAAGAGAGAUCCCUUAAAAAUAGUUAAAAUUGGGAGUUCCCGUCGUGGCGCAGUGGUUAACGAAUCCGACUAGGAACCAUGAGGUUGCGGGUUCGGUCCCUGCCCUUGCUCAGUGGGUUAACGAUCCGGCGUUGCCGUGAGCUGUGGUGUAGGUUGCAGACGCGGCUCGGAUCCCGUGUUGCUGUGGCUCUGGCGUAGGCCGGUGGCUACAGCUCCGAUUCAACCCCUAGCCUGGGAACCUCCAUAUGCCGUGGGAGCGGCCCAAGAAAUAGCAACAACAACAACAACAACAACAACAACAACAAAAGACAAAAAGACAAAAG